rnacentral:tRNA from 1 species
UCCCUGGUGGUCCAGUUGUUCAGACUCUGCACUUCCAAUGCAGAGGGGUGCAGGUUCGAUCUCUUAUCAGGGAA